rnacentral:rRNA from 1 species
UACGGAGGGGGCUAGCGUUGUUCUGAAUUACUGGGCGUAAAGCGCACGUAGGCGGCUUUGUAAGUUAGAGGUGAAAGCCCAGGGCUUAACCCUGGAAUUGCCUUUAAGACUGCAUCGCUAGAAUCGUGGAGAGGUGAGUGGAAUUCCGAGUGUAGAGGUGAAAUUCGUAGAUAUUCGGAAGAACACCAGUGGCGAAGGCGACUCACUGGACACGUAUUGACGCUGAGGUGCGAAAGCGUGGGGAGCAAACAGG